rnacentral:rRNA from 1 species
AGUGAACGCUGGCGGUAGGCCUAACACAUGCAAGUCGAACGGCAGCACAGUAAGAGCUUGCUCUUACGGGUGGCGAGAGGCGGACGGGUGAGGAAUACAUCGGAAUCUACUUUUUCGUGGGGGAUAACGUAGGGAAACUUACGCUAAUACCGCAUACGACCUACGGGUGAAAGCAGGGGAUAUUUGGACCUUGCGCGAUUGAAUGAGCCGAUGUCGGAUUAGCUAGUUGGCGGGGUAAAGGCCCACCCAGGCGAGGAUCCGUAGCCGGUCUGAGAGGAUGAUCAGCGACACUGGAACUGAGACACCGUCCAGGCUCCUGCGGGAGGCAGCAGUGGGGAAUAUUGGGCAGUGGGCGCAAGCCUGGUCCAGCCAUCCCGCGUGUGUGGAGAAGGCCUUCGGGUUGUGAAGCCCUUUUGUUGGGAGAGAAAAGCAUCAGGUUAAUACGCCGCUGUUCUGACGGUAACCAAAGAAUAAGCACCGGCUAACUUCGUG